AUUAUGAAGUAGCAAUGAAAAGAAUCUUAUGGUUGGGGGUCACCACAACAUGAGGAAGAAACUGCCUUACAGGAUCGCAGCAGGAGGAAGGUUGAGAACCACUGCUCUGAGAGACACAUCUCAGUAUCAUGGCUGUAACUGUGUCUCCACAGACCAGGAAGCAGAGAGUGAAGGCAGAAGUAGAGUCAAGUAUAAUGGUCAAAGGUCCUCCCCAGCUAGAUGCCACCUCUGAAAGGCUUCAUAAUCUUCCAGAAUAGAGCUACCAGGUCUUGAAUGUUGCCCCCCAAACUCAUUAAAAUGUGAUCUCUAUUGUGAAGUGUGAAGAAGGUGGAAAACAGGAAAACAACUGCUGGACUCUGUCACUUGUUCCCUCCUGCUGAAGGCUUGCUAGUAGAUUCUGAGUCGGCCAUCACUGGAAGGAGAGGCCCAUUGGAAACGCAAACUGUAUAUGCCCCAGUACAGGGG
rnacentral:lncRNA from 1 species